rnacentral:rRNA from 1 species
UGAGAGCUCUUUCUUGAUUAUGUGGGUGGUGGUGCAUGGCCGUUCUUAGUUGGUGGAGUGAUUUGUCUGCUUAAUUGGGAUAACGAACGAGACCUUAACCUGCUAAAUAGCCAGGCAAGCGUUUGCUAGUCGUCGGCUUCUUAGAGGGACUAUCGGCUCAAGCCGAUGGAAGUUUGAGGCAAUAACAGGUCUGUGAUGCCCUUAGAUGUUCUGGGCCGCACGCGCGCUACACUGACAGAGCCAACGAGUAUAAACCUUGGCCGAAAGGUCUGGGUAAUCUUGUUAAACUCUGUCGUGCUGGGGAUAGAGCAUUGCAAUUAUUGCUCUUCAACGAGGAAUUCCUAGUAAGCGCAAGUCAUCAGCUUGCGUUGAUUACGUCCCUGCCCCUUUGUACACACCGCCCGUCGCUACUACCGAUUGAAUGGCUCAGUGAGGCUCUCGGACUGGCUCCAGGAGGUCGGCAACGACCACCCAGAGCCGGAAAGUGAGUCAAACUUGGUCAUUUAGAGGAAGUAAAAGUCGUAACAAGGUUUCCGUAGGUGAACCUGCGGAAGGAUCAUUAAAAACGUACGAGGUAUUCCCUCUGCAUGAGUACUCCUCCCAGUUGUCCGAGGCGCCAAAAACGCUGAAGCUCGGGAGGAUACGCUUCAACCCUUUGUGAAACACCUGUUGCUUUGGCAGCUCUUCUCCGGAAGGUCAGUCUGUCAGAAGCUCGCAAGAAACUCUUUGUUUAUAAACAUUGUCUUGAAAAGAAAUGAAAAUUCUUUAAAACUUUCAACAACGGAUCUCUUGGUUCUCGCAUCGAUGAAGAACGCAGCGAAACGCGAUAGGUAAUGUGAAUUGCAGAAUUCAGUGAAUCAUCGAAUCUUUGAACGCACAUUGCGCCUUUUGGUAUUCCGAGAGGCAUGUCUGUUUGAGCGUCAUUACAAACCCUCAAGCCUAGCUUGGUGUUGAGCUCCGGUCCGUCCAGGCUCUAAUGUAGUACGCUUGCGGGCUCUCCCCAUAAUUACAACGUAGUAAAACUUCUUUCGUUGUGUUGGAAGGAGAGUUCUGCCUGAAUCAACCCCUCAGAGUUUGACCUCAGAUCAGACAAGGAUACCCGCUGAACUUAAGCAUAUCAAUAAGCGGAGGAAAAGAAACCAACAGGGAUUGCCUUAGUAACGGCGAGUGAAGCGGCAACAGCUCAAAUUUGAAAUCUGAUGUCUUUUGACGUUCGAGUUGUAAUUUGAAGAGGAAUCUUCGGUUUGGACCACGGCCCAUGUCCCUUGGAACAGGGCGUCGUAGAGGGUGAGAAUCCCGUUGACGGCUGAUGGUCUCUUUCCAUGUGAAGUUCCUUCGAAGAGUCGAGUUGUUUGGGAAUGCAGCUCUAAACGGGAGGUAAAUUUCUUCUAAAGCUAAAUAUUGGCGAGAGACCGAUAGCGCACAAGUAGAGUGAUCGAAAGAUGAAAAGCACUUUGAAAAGAGAGUUAAACAGUACGUGAAAUUGUUGAAAGGGAAGCGCUUGCAAUUAGACUUGUCUUUGGUGGAUCAACGUUCCUUCUGGUUCGUGCACUCCGUCUUUGACAGGCCAGCAUCGGUUGCGACGGCGGGACAAAGACCUUAGGAAUGUGGCUCUCUUCGGGGAGUGUUAUAGCCUUCGGUGCAAUGCCGCCUGUCGCGAUCGAGGACCGCGCUUCGGCUAGGAUGCUGGCGUAAUGAUUGUAAGCGACCCGUCUU